rnacentral:rRNA from 1 species
CCAAUAGCGUAUAUUAAAGUUGUUGCAGUUAAAAAGCUCGUAGUUGAAUUUCGGGAUUAGUACGCUGGUCGUGCCUUCGGUACGUACUGGUGUUACUGAUUCCUACCUUCUGACGAACCGUCAUGUCAUUAAUUUGAUGUGGCGGGAAAGCAGGACUGUUACUUUGAAAAAAUUAGAGUGUUUAAAGCAGGCUCGCGCUUGAAUACAUUAGCAUGGAAUAAUGAAAUAGGACGUUCGAUCCUAUUUUGUUGGUUUCUAGGAUUGACGUAAUGAUUAAUAGGGAUAGUUGGGGGCAUUAGUAUUCAAUUGUCAGAGGUGAAAUUCUUGGAUUUAUUGAAGACUAACUACUGCGAAAGCAUUUGCCAAGGAUGUUUUCAUUAAUCAAGAACGAAAGUUAGGGGAUCGAAGACGAUCAGAUACCGUCGUAGUCUUAACCAUAAACUAUGCCGACUAGGGAUCGGAUGAUGUUAAUUUUUUUAAUGACUCAUUCGGCGCCUUACG